rnacentral:lncRNA from 1 species
UUGAGACGAAAUUAAUGGUUUCCAUUUUCAUCCCACUCCACCAAAAUCAGGGCUGUAUGCUUUGAUACAUCUUGGUGCUUCCCAAGUGCAUGUUGAACUUCGAACUAUGAGCCUCCGUCAUGAUAUCUCUCUUCAACUCGCUAUCACUAGAGACACACAACCUAUUAUGAAACCUUAGCAACCCAUCUAUAGAGACUCGAAACUCUAAAUUCAAAUCCUAUUCUGUAUUUUUUUUAAAGUUGCUAGAGUGAAAUCAGUCAAUUGAGCCUCAUUUAUU